rnacentral:rRNA from 1 species
AUGGCGAAGAAGGCCGCAAAGCGAGCUAUUGGUGAAGCAAGGGGUCGGGCAUAUGAGGACCUCUACCAACGGUUAGGCACGAAGGAAGGUGAAAGGGACAUCUAUAAGAUGGCUAAGAUCCGGGAGAGGAAGACGAGGGAUAUUGGCCAAGUCAAAUGCAUCAAGGACGGAGCAGGCCAACUCUUGGUGAAGGACGAAGAGAUUAAGCAUAGAUGGCGGGAGUACUUCGACAAGCUAUUCAAUGGGGAGAAUGAGAGUUCUACCAUUGAACUGAAUGACUCCUUUGAUGAGACCAGCAUGCGUUUUGUGCGGCGCAUCCAGGAGUCUGAGGUGAAGGAGGCUUUAAAAAGGAUGAAAGGAGGCAAGGCGAUGGGCCCUGAUUGUAUCCCCAUUGAGGUGUGGAAAGGUCUCGGGGACAUAGCGAUAGUAUGGCUAACCAAGCUUUUCAACCUCAUUUUUCGGGCAAACAAGAUGCCAGAAGAAUGGAGACGGAGUAUAUUAGUACCAAUCUUCAAGAACAAGGGGGAUGUUCAGAGUUGUACUAAUUACCGUGGAAUUAAGCUAAUGAGCCAUACAAUGAAGCUAUGGGAGAGAGUCAUUGAGCACCGCUUAAGAAGAAUGACAAGCGUGACCAAAAAUCAGUUUGGUUUCAUGCCUGGGAGGUCGACCAUGGAAGCCAUUUUCUUGGUACGACAACUUAUGAAGAGAUAUAGGGAGCAUAAGAAGGACUUGCAUAUGGUGUUCAUUGACUUGGAGAAGGCCUAUGAUAAGAUACCGCGGAAUGUCAUGUGGUGGGCCUUGGAGAAACACAAAGUCCCAGCAAAGUACAUUACCCUCAUCAAGGACAUGUACAAUAAUGUUGUGACAAGUGUUCGAACAAGUGAUGUCGACACCGAUGACUUCCCGAUUAAGAUAGGACUGCAUCAGGGGUCAGCUUUGAGCCCUUAUCUUUUUGCAUUGGUGAUGGAUGAGGUCACAAGGGGUAUACAAGGAGAUAUCCCAUGGUGUAUGCUCUUUGCGGAUGAUGUGGUGCUAGUUGACGAUAGUCGGACGGGGGUAAAUAGGAAGUUAGAGUUAUGGAGACAAACCUUGGAAUCGAAAGGGUUUAGGCUUAGUAGAACUAAAACCGAGUACAUGAUGUGCGGUUUCAGUACUACUAGCUGUGAGGAGGAGGAGGCUAGCCUUGAUGGCCAGGUGGUACCUCGGAAGGACACCUUUCGGUAUUUGGGGUCAAUGUUGCAGGAGGAUGGGGGUAUUGAUGAAGAUGUGAACCAUCGAAUCAAAGCCGGAUGGAUGAAGUGGCGCCAAGCUUCUGGCAUUCUCUGUGACAAGAGAGUGCCACAAAAGGUAAAAGGCAAGUUCUACAGGACGGCGGUUCGACCCGCAAUGUUGUAUGGCGCGGAGUGUUGGCCGACUAAAAGGCGACAUGUUCAACAGUUAGGUGUGGCGGAGAUGCGUAUGUUGAGAUGGAUGUGUGGCCACACGAGGAAGGAUCGAGUCCGGAAUGAUGAUAUACGAGAUAGAGUUGGGGUAGCACCAAUUGAGGAGAAGCUUGUCCAACAUCGUUUGAGAUGGUUUGGGCAUAUUCAGCGCAGGCCUCCAGAAGCUCCAGUGCAUAGCGGACGGCUAAAGCGUGCGGAGAAUGUCAAGAGAGGGCGGGGUCGACCGAUUUUGACAUGGGAGGAGUCCGUUAAGAGAGACCUGAAGGAUUGGAGUAUCGACAAAGAGCUAGCUAUGGACAGGGGUGCGUGGAAGCUUGCUAUCCAUGUGCCAGAGCCAUGA